rnacentral:rRNA from 1 species
UACGUAGGGUGCGAGCGUUAAUCGGAAUUACUGGGCGUAAAGCGUGCGCAGGCGGUUGGCAAAGUCAGCUGUGAAAGCCCCGGGCUCAACCUGGGAAUUGCGGUUGAAACUAGUCGACUAGAAUCUGGCAGAGGGGGGUGGGAAUUCCACGGUGUAGCAGGUGGAAAUGCGUAGAGAAUGUGGAGGAACACCGAUGGCGAAGGGCAGCCCCCUGGGCUGGAGCAUU